rnacentral:rRNA from 1 species
UACGUAGGGGGCAAGCGUUGUCCGGAUUUAUUGGGCGUAAAGAGCGUGUAGGCGGCCUGGAAGGUCAGCUGUGAAAACUCGAGGCUCAACCUCGAGACGUCGGUUGAAACCACCUGGCUAGAGUCCGGAAGAGGAGAGUGGAAUUCCCGGUGUAGCGGUGAAAUGCGCAGAUAUCGGGAGGAACACCAGUGGCGAAGGCGGUUGCCUGGAGCUUUGCUGACGCUGAGGCGCGAAAGCGUGGGGAGCGAUCCGG